rnacentral:snRNA from 1 species
GUGCUCACUCCAGCAGCACAUAUACUAAAAUUGGAAUGAUACAGAGAAGAUUACCAUGGCCCCUGAGCAAUGAUGACAUGCAAAUUCAUGAAGUGUUCCACAUUUUU